UGUAAUGAUAUAGGAUGCCCUCUUUUGGA
rnacentral:piRNA from 1 species